GAUGAAGAACGUAGCGAAAUGCGAUAAGUAGUGUGAAUUGCAGAAUUCAGUGAAUCAUCGAAUCUUUGAACGCGCAUUGCGCCCCUUGGUAUCCCGAGGGGCAUGCCUGUUCGAGCGUCAUUUCACCACUCAAGCCUGGCUUGGUGUUGGGCGACGUCCUCUUUGGGGACGCGCCUCGAAACGCUCGGCGGCGUGGCACCGGCUUUAAGCGUAGCAGAAUCUUUCGCUUUGGAAGUCGGGGCCCCGUCUGCCGGAAGACCUGCUCGCAAGGUUGACCUCGGAUCAGGCAGGGAUACCCGCUGAACUUAAGCAUAUCAAUAAGCGGAGGA
rnacentral:misc_RNA from 1 species